CACAUGCAAGUCGAGGGGUAGCAGGGUAGCAAUACCGCUGACGACCGGCGCACGGGUGAGUAACACGUAUCCAACCUUCCCAUUACUCGGGAAUAGCCUUUCGAAAGAAAGAUUAAUACCCGAUAGUACUUUUUUGAGGCAUCUCAAAACAGUUAAAGAUUAAUUGGUAAUGGAUGGGGAUGCGUUCCAUUAGAUUGUUGGUGAGGUAACGGCUCACCAAGUCUUCGAUGGAUAGGGGUUCUGAGAGGAAGGUCCCCCACAUUGGUACUGAGACACGGACCAAACUCCUACGGGAGGC
rnacentral:rRNA from 1 species